UGGACAAAUUAUUGUAUUCGACUGUAUUUACGAUGUGAAACAGGGGAUUACACUGUUUUAAACUGAAAGUGAAUCAAUUAACAUAAUAGACUCAU
rnacentral:pre_miRNA from 1 species